ensembl:snRNA U1 U1 spliceosomal RNA
AUGCUCAUUGGUAGAGGAGAUAUCAUGAUUGCGAAAGUGGUUUUCCCAGGGCAAAGCUUAUCCAUUGCACUCCGGAUGUGCUAACCCCUGCAAUUUCCCCAAAUGUGGGAAAUUCGACUGUAUAAUUUGUGAUGGUGGGGGAUUGCGUUCAUGCUUUCCCCUG